AGGCCUGCGCGCGCGGACGCGGCUCCCGAGGCGAGCGGCCGGGCCCGUCCGCCCUCCCUCCCUCCGUCGCGGCCGCCGGGCGCUGCCGGGCAGGGGCGUCCCCGGGGGCGCGAGCGCGCGGCGAUGGGCGCGCCCCGGCCCCGUGCGCCCCUGGGCGCGCUGGCCGCGCUGGCCCCGCUGGCCCUGCUGCUGGGCGCCGCGCUGGGGCCGCGCGCCGGGGCCCGCUCCGCGCCGCCCUGCCCGGCUCCGUGCCGCUGCCUCGGCGGCCUCCUGGACUGCGCGCGCCGGCGGCUGGAGCGCCUGCCCGCGCCGCUGCCGCCCUGGGUGGCCCGGCUGGACUUAAGUCACAACAGAUUGUCUUUCAUCAAGGCGAGUUCCAUGAGCCACCUUCACAGCCUUCGAGAAGUGAAGCUGAACAACAAUGAAUUGGAGACAAUUCCAAACCUAGGACCAGUCUCAGCAAAUAUCACACUUCUCUCCUUAGCUGGAAACAAGAUUGUGGAAAUAGUACCUGAACAUCUGAGACAGUUUCAGUCCCUUGAAACUUUGGAUCUGAGUGGCAAUAAUAUUUCAGAGCUUAAAACUGCACUUCCACCCCUACAACUCAAAUAUCUGUACAUCAACAGCAACCGAGUCACAUCCGUGGAACCUGGGUACUUUGACAAUUUGGCCAACACACUCCUGGUGCUGAAGCUGAACAGGAACCGAAUCUCAGCUCUCCCGCCCAAGAUGUUUAAGCUGCCCCAACUGCAGCACCUUGAACUGAACCGAAACAGGAUUAAAAACGUAGAUGGGCUCACGUUCCAAGGGCUUGGUGCUCUGAAGUCUCUGAAGAUGCAAAGAAACGGAGUGACAAAACUGAUGGACGGAGCUUUCUGGGGGCUGAGCAACAUGGAAAUCUUGCAGCUGGACCAUAACAACCUCACAGAGAUUACCAAAGGCUGGCUUUACGGCUUGCUGAUGCUGCAGGAGCUCCAUCUCAGCCAGAAUGCCGUCAGCAGGAUCAGCCCUGACGCCUGGGAGUUCUGCCAGAAGCUCAGUGAGCUGGACCUAACUUUCAAUCACUUAUCGAGGUUGGAUGAUUCAAGCUUCCUGGGCCUCAGCUUGCUAAAUACACUGCACAUUGGGAAUAACAAAGUCAGCUACAUCGCUGAUUGUGCCUUCCGGGGGCUUUCCAGCUUAAAGACGUUGGAUCUGAAGAAUAAUGAAAUUUCCUGGACCAUUGAGGACAUGAAUGGCGCUUUCUCUGGGCUUGACAAACUGAGGCGGCUAAUACUCCAGGGAAACCGGAUUCGAUCCAUUACCAAAAAAGCCUUCACUGGUUUGGAUGCAUUAGAACAUCUAGACCUGAGUGACAACGCGAUCAUGUCCUUACAAGGCAAUGCCUUUUCACAGAUGAAGAAACUUCAACAACUGCACUUAAAUACAUCCAGCCUGCUGUGCGAUUGCCAGCUAAAAUGGCUCCCGAGGUGGGUGGCGGAGAACAACUUUCAGAGCUUCGUAAAUGCCAGCUGCGCCCAUCCUCAGUUGCUGAAGGGAAGAAGUAUUUUUGCCGUGAGUCCAGAUGGCUUUGUGUGUGAUGAUUUUCCUAAGCCCCAGAUCACGGUUCAGCCAGAAACGCAGUCGGCAAUAAAAGGUUCCAAUUUGAGCUUUAUCUGCUCGGCUGCCAGCAGCAGCGACUCCCCAAUGACUUUUGCUUGGAAGAAAGACAAUGAGCUCCUGCACGAUGCUGAGAUGGAAAAUUACGCGCACCUCCGGGCCCAGGGUGGCGAGGUGAUGGAGUACACCACCAUCCUUCAGCUCCGCAACGUGGAAUUCGCCAGCGAAGGGAAAUAUCAGUGUGUCAUCUCCAAUCACUUUGGUUCAUCCUACUCUGUCAAAGCCAAGCUCACAGUAAACAUGCUUCCGUCGUUCACCAAGACCCCCAUGGACCUCACCGUCCGUGCCGGCGCCAUGGCGCGCUUGGAGUGCGCUGCCCUGGGACACCCGGCCCCACAGAUAGCCUGGCAGAAGGACGGGGGCACGGACUUCCCGGCUGCGAGGGAGAGACGCAUGCACGUCAUGCCUGAGGAUGACGUGUUCUUUAUCGUGGACGUGAAGAUAGAGGACAUCGGCGUGUAUAGCUGCACAGCUCAAAACAGCGCAGGAAGCAUUUCUGCAAACGCAACUCUGACUGUCCUCGAGACGCCAUCGUUUUUGCGGCCCCUGUUAGAUCGAACUGUAACCAAAGGGGAAACGGCCGUCCUGCAGUGCAUCGCGGGAGGGAGCCCUCCUCCCAGGUUGAACUGGACCAAGGACGACAGCCCCUUGGUGGUCACGGAAAGGCACUUUUUUGCAGCAGGCAACCAGCUGCUGAUCAUCGUGGACUCUGAUGUCAGCGAUGCCGGGAAGUACACGUGUGAGAUGUCCAACACGCUGGGCACCGAGAGAGGCCACGUGCGCCUCAGCGUGAUCCCCAGGCCCACCUGCGACUCCCCUCAGAUGACCGCCUCGUCCCUGGGCGAGGACGGCUGGGCCACCGCGGGUGUCGUGAUCAUCGCGGUGGUGUGCUGUGUGGUGGGCACGUCGCUCGUGUGGGUGGUCAUCAUAUACCACACACGGCGGAGGAACGAGGACUGCAGCAUCACCAACACAGAUGAGACCAACCUGCCAGCUGAUAUCCCAAGUUGUUUGUCAUCUCAGGGAACAUUAGCUGACAGACAGGAUGGGUACGUCUCCUCAGAAAGUGGAAGCCACCACCAGUUCGUCACUUCUUCAGGAGGCGGAUUUUUCUUACCACAACACGACAGUAACGGGACAUGCCACGUUGACAACAGCAGUGAGGCCGAUGUGGAAGCCGCCACAGACCCGUUCCUUUGUCCCUUUUUGGGACCCACAGGCCCGAUGUAUUUGAAGGGGAGUGUGUAUGGCUCGGACCCUUUUGAAGCCUACCACGCAGGUUGUGGUCCUGACCCGAGAACAGCUUUAAUGGACCACUGUGAGCCCAGCUACAUAAAGAAGAAGGAGUGCUGCCCAUGUCCUCAUCCUUCAGAAGAAUCCUGCGAGCACAGUGGCCGUGAUACAGGCUGGCCUUCCCACGUGCGGAAGUUACUCAGCUCUUCUUACGCUCAACGCGGAGGACCCGGGAUGAACAGCUUCUGUCUGAACAAGUCUUCUGUAGAUUUUAGUCCAAGUCCAGAGCCAGCAUCUGUUACUUUGAGUAAUUCUUUCAUGGGAACAUUUGGAAAGCCUCUGAGGAGACCUCACCUGGAUGCCUUUUCAAGCUCUGGACACUCAUCGGAUUGCCAGCCCAGAGCCUUUCACUUGAAAGCUCGUUCUUCCCCGAACUUGGACUAUGAGUCAGAGGAAGAUAGGAAAGAAAGGACAGAUUUUCAGCAAGAAAAUCACACGUGUGCCUAUAAACAGACCUUAGAAAACCACAGGACUUCAAAUUUUCAGUCUUAUGACGUGGACACAUAGACUGAAGGGGACCAAGGAAGCGUUCUAACGUACUACCUCAAGUGGACUUUUAUUUAAAAGAGAGAACCCUAUGUUUUUAAGUGGAGCUAUGAAUUUUAAAAAGAUAAAAUGUCUUAUUUAUACAGAUGGACCAAAAUUACAAAAAGGCUUCAUUAUUUCAUAUGAUCGUGUCUCACAUGGGUGAAAAUUACAUUCAGCACAUUAAAAUGUGAGCAGAUGACCAUUCUGCAUACCUCCCAGGGUGGUUGUAAUACAGACUCACACCAGAUGAGGGUCUGUGAAAGCACAUUGUAAGUGAGAGGGAGCUGCAGAGAUUCGAGGUACAUUAAUUUAUUCCUAACUCUACAAACAAAAAGAUGUGCUGUUGCUUAAAUCACUGCUCACGCCAUGUUUCCUUAAUUGUAGUAAUGCUUUAUGUCGUCUAAUGCUUUGUGCUUUUCCAAAUAGUUGCACAUCCACCAUCCCUUUAAUUAUAAGGAGAUACUGGCUUACUGCACAUUUCUGUAGUUAAAAGUCUGCAGCAGAUGUGGGGUUCCAUCCUCUGUCCCAGGUUAUAACGGGAUGCUGGUGGAAUUUGUUGCUGUGCUUAUCGAUUUUCUGCUGGAUGAGCAGAUCUUACCAAAAAAGGUCCUCUUAAGCUAUUCCGCAACAUUCUUUAAGAAUUAAAAUGUUUUCCUAAUUUGGUCAUCACAACUCUACUUGUGAAAAACUGAGUAUCAAAUCUGUUACUUAAACAUAUACAAUUAUUUAAAAUACUUGUUUUAAGCAGUAUUUAGGUGAAAAUGUCAUUACAUGACUGACAUAUAUACACACAUACAAAAAAGAAUAUAGUCAUCUCCAAAAUUAAGUGACAUAGUUUGAAGUAAUUGAAUGAAACAGACAUUAAGUUUAAUAAUGUAGAUGAUGAAACUGGUGUUUUUCCCUUAGUAAAUCUUUAAAAUUGGCAUUGAAGAAGUUAAUACAGUACACUAAACUUUAAAAUCAACUAACCUGUUGAAGGUGUGAGUUUAUGUCAUUGACAGUUCUUUGAACUAAAUUAAAAGCACGUAUUAGAAACGCAGAUUCUCCUUAGAGGAUAUGUCGUGGGUAAAGUUUUCCUACUUGGUGAGUUUAGAGCUUUGUUGUUAGUGAGCCAGGAGCCUGGAACCCAGAUUGCGGUAAGAUUUUCCUCCUUUAACUUAGACACCAGAGUCCACGGCAGGAAGCUGAUGCUCCCUGGGACCACCAGUGACUCAGAGCGGAGAAGCGGUUUUGUAUGCUUUGGCUUUAUCCUAUUGCCCGAUUUUCAAAAUCGUGUGGAUUUGUCUUCAUUUUUGCCAGAUGUGAUCCAGGCAUCGAUAAGGGGUCUACUCAGGAUUAUGAACUUCUUCUAAAGGAUUUAGUGUUUCCAGACUUAAGUGCAAAGGCUUAAAUCAUUAACACCUGAAAUUCAAAAAUUAGAUUCUCUCUACGUUAACAUGAUUUUUCUCUUUUAUUCUUCUUGUGUGCGGAAACUUACGGAUGACAUAUAAUUUUAGCUGUUUGGAGGAACAGCAGGAGCUUAAUUUCCCUUUGAUGUUUGUAAGAAAAGACUGUAUAUCAUUUUGAGACUCCAUAUUGCAUUGACAAAGUGAGUCUAGUAGGUAUUAAGAUAGCCUAAAAUAACAGACAAUUAAAAAUGUAGGUAACUAUCAAGUCACUUGUCUUAUUUAUGAGAGGGAAUGCUUAAAAUUUUCAGUUUAACCUUUCUGUGCUUUCUGAUACGAAACUAAUUCUUUUACAACAUAUCUUAAUAGAUGUUCACAAAACUUUUGUAUAUUUUUUCUCAUUUCCAAAAUUGACACUAAAUGAUAGGAUCGUUACUGUGUAUAAUCUUAUUCUUUUUUUUAAGGUAUUAGGGAAUACAUUUUCCUUAAUUGUGGUAGGCAACAUUUUAUAAAAAUCAUAUUUCUGUGGAACACCACCGUUUAUUUUCACAGUGUUCCUACAGAAAGAAACCACGUUAUUUCUCAGAGUAAAGCCAGUGGUAGGUACCACUUUUAAAACCUGAUAGCGAAAAGGAGAGGUGGUUUGGGAUUUGUACACACUUGACGGUUUUUAGUCCUUUUGAUAUAAUGCGACAGGAAGUACUUUAUAACCAACAUUACAAUAGAUGCGCUACCCUGGUAUUUUGUAAAGAGAAUGCGAACCAAAUGUCAUUGCAAAAUGCCUGCUCUGCCUCUCCUACUCUUGGAAUCUGCGGUGAUUGGACUUGUGUAAUGGGAUAACUUAGAACUCACUAUUUUUUAAGACAGCAUUCUGUUAACACAUUGAAUAACACAGUGUCAUGCCAAGAAAGCUAUUAAAGUCUUCAAAGAGGGGUACAGUUUCUUCAUGAAUUGAAUACCUUCAAAAUUCCAGAAAUAUCCCGUUACCAGAACUUAUCAUUUCUGUGAGGCAUUUCUUAAACUCAUGUAUAGAGAGUACUGAAACAGUCUGGAGAGGUUGCAGAUUUCACCUAAAACGGUUGGGAGGUACUUCAGUAGGUAUUUUCUUUUAACUGAGAAGAGGAUUUGCCCACAAUAUUUACUGAAUUAUCCCAAUAUUUGGGGCCAUUUGACUUUUGAUUUUUGUUUUGAGAAAUCUGAUACUGGUAGGGUGUCUUUUAAUGAAGAUGUUUGAUUUUACCUGAGGUGUAUUAUCAAGAUAAAACACACACAAAAGUCUAUUAUAGAUUGAAAGGUAUACAAUUUACCAAACACAUUCUUAUUAUUGCAAAUAUUUCAAGUUCUUUUCCCAUUUCUAUUCUCUUUAGUGUCAAGGAUCUGAACUCUAUAUCCUGAAUUACAUAUCCUCCCAUGUAAUGAUUGGUACCUAUGAACGCAGAAAUUAUAACUAAUAUUCACAUGUAGGUUUUUAUUAGAAUUAUUUUUUUAAAGAUUUUUUUAUUUAUUUAUUUAUUUAUUAUUUUUGGGGGGUACACCAAGUUCAAUCAUCUGUUUUUAUACACAUAUCCCCGUAUUCCCUCCCUUCCUUGACUCCCCCCCCUCGAGUCCCCCCACCCUCCCUGCCCCAGUCCUCUAAGGCAUCUUCCAUCCUCGAGUUGGACUCCCUUUGUUAUACAACAACUUCCCACUGACUAUCUAUUUUACAGUUGGUAGUAUAUAUAUGUCUGUGCUACUCUCUCGCUUCAUCUCAGCUUCCCCUUCACCCCCCGCCCCCUCCCAAACCUCGAGUUCUCCAGUCCAUUCUCUGCAUCUGCAUCGUUGUUCUUGUCACUGAGUCCAUCAGUACCAUUUUUAGAUUCCGUAUAUGUGAGUUAGCAUACAAUAUUUGUCUUUCUCUUUCUGACUUACUUCACUCUGUAUGACAGACUGUAGUUCUAUCCACCUCAUUACAUAUAGCUCCAUCUCAUCCCUUUUUAUAGCUGAGUAAUAUUCCAUUGUAU